rnacentral:tRNA from 1 species
GCGCCCGUAGCUCAGUAGGAUAGAGCAACGGUUUCCUAAACCGUGGGUCAGGGGUUCGAGUCCCUUCGGGCGCACCA